GCAAACUUUAGACACAAGUAACCGACUAUUGUAAUUGUUUUUCCUUGCUUGGCUUCAAAAUGGACACCCACAAUUAAUUAGUAUAUUGCUAAGAGGUAUCAUCUGCCAUAGAUGAAUGCAAUACCACCUCAGAAGGUAUAUCAGCAUCUGGCUCAGGAUUACACAGACACAAGGCCCUUAACACAUCCUCUAGGCUGUGAUAAAAGUAUUUUAUGCUUAAAAAUGGACACUUCAGACCCCUAAAAGCACUUUAGCUUGUUGAAGUGCUUCAUGAGUCAAUAUUGUGUCCUCUUUUAUUUUACAAAACGUGCAGAUUUUAGUAGAAAUUGGCAAUUUUAUAAACGAACCUUGUUACAACCCCUGGAUGUCAAUCAAAUUACCUUCCUGGUUUGGUUAGCUCAGUGGAGUUAAACUCAAGAGGCAGCAAAGACUUUGCCCUGCAAAGUCUUCUCAUUGAGCUGCAUUGGGAAGUCUGUGAUUGGACAGCCACAGAAAGUCUGGGCAGGGUUAUAAGAGGAGGGUUUGCAAAUGCUGAAACAGAUCUGCAGCUUUUGCAAGCUGUUUUUAGAUAUACUUCAAUACAAAAGUGCAUAAUUAAAUGCAUACAUGGUUUUAUUGGGGGCUAUAUCUACUAACCAGUGAUUAUUAAAAAAAAAAAAAAAUGCCCCUUUAACCAUGUUCAUCAUCCAAAAAAAUGCCUUAUAUAAUUUGUUACAGAAAUUACCUGUCUAAACUGUCUAAAGCCCACCCCAAAGUUUUGAUGCAUGCAAGGAAAUUGGGCUUCUUAAAAUUGAGAGCCAUUUUAUCUCCUAUUAAGCCUGACAACAUUGGUAUAGACUUUUAGUACACCUAAAUGGUACAUGUUUUCAGCCUGUCUCCAAAUAUUUAAAUACAAAAAUAUAAGAAAGCAUGUUUGUAUCGAUACCUGAGCUAUAGAUUUA